rnacentral:tRNA from 1 species
AAAAAGAUAAGCUAAUGUAAGCUCGUGGGUUCAUACCCCAUCCAUGAGGGUCAACUCCCUCUCUUUUUA